rnacentral:rRNA from 1 species
GUAAUGUCUGGGAAACUGCCUGAUGGAGGGGGAUAACUACUGGAAACGGUGGCUAAUACCGCAUAACGUCGCAAGACCAAAGAGGGGGACCUUCGGGCCUCUUGCCAUCAGAUGUGCCCAGAUGGGAUUAGCUAGUUGGUGAGGUAACGGCUCACCAAGGCGACGAUCCCUAGCUGGUCUGAGAGGAUGACCAGCCACACUGGAACUGAGACACGGUCCAGACUCCUACGGGAGGCAGCAGUGGGGAAUAUUGCACAAUGGGCGCAAGCCUGAUGCAGCCAUGCCGCGUGUAUGAAGAAGGCCUUCGGGUUGUAAAGUACUUUCAGCGGGGAGGAAGGUGUUGUGGUUAAUAACCGCAGCAAUUGACGUUACCCGCAGAAGAAGCACCGGCUAACUCCGUGCCAGCAGCCGCGGUAAUACGGAGGGUGCAAGCGUUAAUCGGAAUUACUGGGCGUAAAGCGCACGCAGGCGGUCUGUCAAGUCGGAUGUGAAAUCCCCGGGCUCAACCUGGGAACUGCAUUCGAAACUGGCAGGCUUGAGUCUUGUAGAGGGGGGUAGAAUUCCAGGUGUAGCGGUGAAAUGCGUAGAGAUCUGGAGGAAUACCGGUGGCGAAGGCGGCCCCCUGGACAAAGACUGACGCUCAGGUGC